AAGUCGUAACAAGGUUUCCGUAGGUGAACCUGCGGAAGGAUCAUUAAAGAGAUAGGGUUCUCACGAGCCCGACCUCCAACCCUUUUUAAACCCUUUUUUAACGAGUGUAAUCUGAGUGGAUAUUUAAUGCUUCAAUUAAAACUUUCAACAACGGAUCUCUUGGUUCUG
rnacentral:misc_RNA from 1 species